rnacentral:rRNA from 1 species
UAGGUAAUCUUCCGCAAUGGACGAAAGUCUGACGGAGCAACGCCGCGUGAGUGAAGAAGGAUUUCGGUUCGUAAAACUCUGUUGCUAGGGAAGAAAAAAUGUAUAGUAACUAUAUACAAAAGAGACGGUACCUAACCAGAAAGCCACGGCUAACUACGUGCCAGCAGCCGCGGUAAUACGUAGGUGGCAAGCGUUGUCCGGAAUUAUUGGGCGUAAAGCGCGCGUAGGUGGUUUAGAAAGUCUGAUGUGAAAGCCCACGGCUCAACCGUGGAGGGUCAUUGGAAACUAAUAAGCUUGAGUGCAGGAGAGAAAAGUGGAAUUCCUAGUGUAGCGGUGAAAUGCGUAGAGAAUAGGAGGAACACCGGUGGCGAAAGCGGCUUUUUGGCCUGCAACUGACACUGAGGCGCGAAAGCGUGGAGAGCAAACAGG